AACGAACGCUGGCGGCAUGCCUAACACAUGCAAGUCGAACGAUGCUUUCGGGCAUAGUGGCGCACGGGUGCGUAACGCGUGGGAAUCUGCCCUUGGGUUCGGAAUAACAGUGAGAAAUUGCUGCUAAUACCGGAUGAUGUCUUCGGACCAAAGAUUUAUCGCCCAGGGAUGAGCCCGCGUAGGAUUAGCUAGUUGGUGGGGUAAUGGCCUACCAAGGCGACGAUCCUUAGCUGGUCUGAGAGGAUGAUCAGCCACACUGGGACUGAGACACGGCCCAGACUCCUACGGGAGGCAGCAGUGGGGAAUAUUGGACAAUGGGCGCAAGCCUGAUCCAGCAAUGCCGCGUGAGUGAUGAAGGCCUUAGGGUUGUAAAGCUCCUUUACCCGGGAUGAUAAUGACAGUACCGGGAGAAUAAGCGCCGGCUAACUCCGUG
rnacentral:rRNA from 1 species